AACUCCUUUUACGGCUAAAACUGUACCACUUUUACUAUGAAGUUUUGAAAAAAAUCUUAUCCUAGAAUUGAAAGUUCAUAUGCACCACAAUUUUUUUCAAAGGUCAAAAUAUAGGGCUGUGCGUCAUAUUUUCAACGUUUAUAUGCCCUGAACUUCUCAGAGUUUAAACUAACACUAAUUUUCUUAACUACCCCUACCUCGAAUGAAAGGUUACCACAGAUUUCAAUGUAAACAAUAUGCACAUGUUUAUUUACUGGUAACAUUCCCAAGUUAUGUCUCUGUGAGAUGGAACACAGAGAGCAUAACUGGGAACCAGUAUGUAAACAAACUUAAUUUUCUAUGAAUAUUCAAGAUCUUCCC
rnacentral:lncRNA from 1 species